GGAUUCACUUUUCUUUUAACACGUUAUCAGCACGAUCCCGAGAGCGAUUUGGUCGAGAGAAAAAGGGACGGCGCGACCGCUCCCCGGCCAUGGCCUCUCCUGCAGAGGUCAUGAUAGCGGCCACCGGCCGGCGUCGCCUCCCUCCGACCGUCGUUGUGGGUCACCUUUCCCCGCACGGCGCUCGCGCCCGGAAUAGCCAGGCUACGCCCGCCCGCGUCGAGGCCUCGCCCUCACACACUGCGCCACACCCCGCGCCAGGCUAUGGCCACGCGUCGCCUACGCCGAGGCUUCGCCCUUGCCCGCCCGGCGCCCAUCCGCCGCGCCUGGCCGGGCGCUGCGUCGCGCCUGGGGCCCAUCCACCCGGCCGCCGCCU
rnacentral:rRNA from 1 species